AUUACACUGCUGCAGACAAGAGUGAAACUGAACUUUGCCCUGUGAAUUGAGGUUGACAGGGCCAGCAGAUCCAUGAGCCCUGGACACAAAAGGUGCCAAGAAGUCCAAGGGUGUGGCAUCCUGACCUCAGACUCAUGCUGCCCCUCCUAUCUCCUGGGCAGCUGUCAACCCUCCCUGCCAUGUUUGAGAAUCCAUCCUGAACAAAACGUGUGCCACAGUAUUUAAGAAUUACUAAAGACCAAAG